rnacentral:rRNA from 1 species
CCCUAUGGCCAUCCUACCCUGAACGCGCCCAAUCUUGUCUGAUUUCGGAAGCUAAGCAGGGUCGGGCCUGGUUAGUACUGGGA